rnacentral:rRNA from 1 species
CAUGUAGGCGGCAUGACAAGUCUGGUGUGAAAUAUCUCGGCUCAACCGAGAAAACGCACUGGAAACUGUCAAGCUUGAGUAUCAGAGGGGAAGCUAGAAUUCCUGGUGUAGGGGUGAAAUCUGUAGAUAUCAGGAAGAAUACCGGUGGCGAAGGCGAGCUUCUGGCCAGAUACUGACGCUGAGAUGCGAAAGCGUGGGGAGCGAACAGGAUUAGAUACCCUGGUAGUCC